rnacentral:rRNA from 1 species
AGUGAACGCUGGCGGUAGGCCCAACACAUGCAAGUCGAACGGCAGCACAGUAAGAGCUUGCUCUUACGGGUGGCGAGUGGCGGACGGGUGAGGAAUACAUCGGAAUCUACUUUUUCGUGGGGGAUAACGUAGGGAAACUUACGCUAAUACCGCAUACGACCUACGGGUGAAAGCAGGGGAUCUUCGGACCUUGCGCGAUUGAAUGAGCCGAUGUCGGAUUAGCUAGUUGGCGGGGUAAAGGCCCACCAAGGCGACGAUCCGUAGCUGGUCUGAGAGGAUGAUCAGCCACACUGGAACUGAGCCACGGUCCAGACUCCUACGGGGGGAAGCAGUGGGGAAUAUUGGACAAUGGGCGCAAGCCUGAUCCAGCCAUACCGCGUGGGUGAAGAAGGCCUUCGGGUUGUAAAGCCCUUUUGUUGGGAAAGAAGAGCAGCAGGUUAAUACCCCGCUGUUCUGACGGUACCCAAAGAAUAAGCACCGGCUAACUUCGUG